rnacentral:rRNA from 1 species
CGGACGGGUGAGUAAUGUCUGGGAAACUGCCCGAUGGAGGGGGAUAACUACUGGAAACGGUAGCUAAUACCGCAUAACGUCGCAAGACCAAAGAGGGGACCUUAGGGCCUCUUGCCAUCGGAUGUGCCCAGAUGGGAUUAGCUAGUAGGUGGGGUAACGGCUCACCUAGGCGACGAUCCCUAGCUGGUCUGAGAGGAUGACCAGCCACACUGGAACUGAGACACGGUCCAG